rnacentral:rRNA from 1 species
UGCGUAGGCGGUUUGGAAAGUCUGAUGUGAAAUCCUGCAGCUUAACUGUAGAACUGUUAUUGAUACUGGUUUUCUUGAAUAUAGUUGAGGUAGGCGGAAUGUGUAAUGUAGCGGUGAAAUGCUUAGAUAUUACACAGAACACCGAUUGCGAAGGCAGCUUACUAAGCUAUGAUUGACGCUGAGGUACGAAAGCGUGGGGAGCGAACAGGAUUAGAUACCCUGGUAGUCC